ACCUUGUAAGCUUUCAAUUUCAGAGGUAUCUUCUGAGGAUUCUGCUUUUUGAAUUUGUCUUUCGAGGAGUUCCCUCUGACUUGUGGCAUCCGUCUCAACCUCAUCAGCGAUAUCUUCCAAUUUUGGCGAAGCAGCAUAUUCUUCAGUUUCACGAAUGGAAUUCGGCGAAUUCAACGUAGAACCAUCAUCUGCAUUAAAUUGUUUUUUGUUAACAGAUAGUGUUGAAGAACGACCUCUGGGCAAUAAAAUCGGAGUACUAGAUGGAAGGACUGUAGCAGAUAAUGGGCUAUUAGGGGAAGAGAUAGUCCUUGAUCGUUGGGGAAGUGGCGGAGCGACUUCUCCGUCAUUGAUGGUUGAGCUACUUAAUAUUCUAUGAUCAGACACGCUUCUAGUUACAUCAGUUGCACCCGGAAAAACAUUACUUCGAUUUGCUUGACUUAUUCUUAAAGAGUUAGAACGAGAGUAUACAUCCUUUUGUACGAAAGAACUGGGG